rnacentral:rRNA from 1 species
CUAUACAUGCAAGUCGAGCGAACAGACAGGAGCUUGCUCCUUUGACGUUAGCGGCGGACGGGUGAGUAACACGUGGGUAACCUACCUAUAAGACUGGGAUAACUUCGGGAAACCGGAGCUAAUACCGGAUAAUAUUUCGAACCGCAUGGUUCGAUAGUGAAAGAUGGUUUUGCUAUCACUUAUAGAUGGACCCGCGCCGUAUUAGCUAGUUGGUAAGGUAACGGCUUACCAAGGCGACGAUACGUAGCCGACCUGAGAGGGUGAUCGGCCACACUGGAACUGAGACACGGUCCAAACUCCUACGGGAGGCAGCAGUAGGGAAUCUUCCGCAAUGGGCGAAAGCCUGACGGAGCAACGCCGCGUGAGUGAUGAAGGUCUUCGGAUCGUAAAACUCUGUUAUUAGGGAAGAACAUACGUGUAAGUAACUAUGCACGUCUUGACGGUACCUAAUCAGAAAGCCACGGCUAACUACGUGCCAGCACCCGCGGUAAUACGUAGGUGGCAAGCGUUAUCCGGAAUUAUUGGGCGUAAAGCGCGCGUAGGCGGUUUUUUAAGUCUGAUGUGAAAGCCCACGGCUCAACCGUGGAGGGUCAUUGGAAACUGGAAAACUUGAGUGCAGAAGAGGAAAGUGGAAUUCCAUGUGUAGCGGUGAAAUGCGCAGAGAUAUGGAGGAACACCAGUGGCGAAGGCGACUUUCUGGUCUGUAACUGACGCUGAUGUGCGAAAGCGUGGGGAUCAAACAGGAUUAGAUACCCUGGUAGUCCACGCCGUAAACGAUGAGUGCUAAGUGUUAGGGGGUUUCCGCCCCUUAGUGCUGCAGCUAACGCAUUAAGCACUCCGCCUGGGGAGUACGACCGCAAGGUUGAAACUCAAAGGAAUUGACGGGGACCCGCACAAGCGGUGGAGCAUGUGGUUUAAUUCGAAGCAACGCGAAGAACCUUACCAAAUCUUGACAUCCUUUGACAACUCUAGAGAUAGAGCCUUCCCCUUCGGGGGACAAAGUGACAGGUGGUGCAUGGUUGUCGUCAGCUCGUGUCGUGAGAUGUUGGGUUAAGUCCCGCAACGAGCGCAACCCUUAAGUUUAGUUGCCAUCAUUAAGUUGGGCACUCUAAGUUGACUGCCGGUGACAAACCGGAGGAAGGUGGGGAUGACGUCAAAUCAUCAUGCCCCUUAUGAUUUGGGCUACACACGUGCUACAAUGGACAAUACAAAGGGCAGCGAAACCGCGAGGUCAAGCAAAUCCCAUAAAGUUGUUCUCAGUUCGGAUUGUAGUCUGCAACUCGACUACAUGAAGCUGGAAUCGCUAGUAAUCGUAGAUCAGCAUGCUACGGUGAAUACGUUCCCGGGUCUUGUACACACCGCCCGUCAACCCACGAGAGUUUGUAACACCCGAAGCCGGUGGAGUAACCAUUGGAGCUAGCCGUCGAA